rnacentral:miRNA from 1 species
UGAACUCUCCCCCUCAACGGCU